ensembl:lncRNA
GAAAACUUUUCCUUGUAAAAUCAAUUUUCUUUAUAGGUCCCGCAUUUGUGUCCUUAAGCCACACAUAAUUUAUCCUUGUGCUAGACAUAGUAGCAAUUAUUUCCCUAAUAUACUUUUCAGUAAUCUUUUAAGCAUGAAAGAGGAUGGGGAGAGAGAGAACAGUUCUUUUUUAUUGUUUCAAAUUGUAAUAACCAUUAUUAAAUAUUUAGAAAAUGCAAAAUGUUUUUCAACACCAAAUAUGAAAAUGUAAGUAAAUUAUGCAACGUACUUGUCUAGAUAGUUAAAAGAAUGCGAAAUCUUCUGCCAAAAAAUGAAUAUUUUUGCUUGCAUUGAACUAAUAUGCCAACUUAUGGUUACUUACGUUUUACUCCUGUUUGCUACAGGUGAAGUGGGUGAGUAUCAGACAGCUCAUUAUAGAGACAAGCAUGCUGCAUUCCCAAAGUAGGAUGACAGAACAAGUCAUGUUGUCUACUGAAGGAUCUCCUGAAGGGGAGAAGAAAGGAAAUUAAAUUGUAUUUAUAUCCUCUGCUUGUACCCAGACUGUUGGAAAGAAGAAAGGAUGGACAGACUUAAUCUUGUACAGACGGAAAAUGAGAUCCCUGGUGAAGCUUACAAUGUCAUUGACUCUGAAGAAGGACUCAGAGACCCAUUGGUGUUUAAUGACCCUUAUUGGCCUGCACAAAAGAAACUGCUUCUCUUUGGAAUAUGAGAACUAAUCACAGAAUCACAGAAUCACAGUACAGUUGAGGUUGGAAGGGACCUCUGGAGACCAUCUAGUCCAACCUCCCUGCUCAAGCAAGGUCCUCUAGAGCACAUUGCCCAGGAUCACAUCCAGAUGGGUUUUGAGUAUCUCCAGCGAAGGGGACUCCAC